rnacentral:tRNA from 1 species
GGACAGGUAGCUCCAAUGGUAGAGCGGAGGUUUGAAGGGCCUCGCGAUGCAGGUUCGAGUCCUGCCCUGUCCA